UUCGUAGGUGAACCUGCGGAAGGAUCAUUAUCGUACAACGGGGAGGCGCCGGCGCUGUCGCUGGCCUUAGGUCGUGCACGCCCCGAGCGUUUCUCCUUCACAUCCACUUCACCUUUGUGCACCGCCGCGUGGGCUCCUCGUUCAAAGAGGAGCUUGCGUUCUCACAGACACCCUUUUGACAUCAGUGUAGAAUGUCUUGAUUUCAUAUAAUAUAACUUUCAACAACGGAUCUCUUGGCUCUCGCAUCGAUGAAGAACGCAGCGAAACGCGAUACGUAAUGUGAAUUGCAGAGUCCAGUGAAUCAUCGAAUCUUUGAACGCACCUUGCACCCCUUGGCAUUCCGAGGGGUACACCCGUUUGAGUGUCGUGAAAUCCUCAACCUUUCUCUUUCAUCGGGAAAGGCUUGGACUUUGGAGGUUUCUGCUGGCCUGCCAGCUCCUCUUAAAUGGAUGAGCAGGGUCCCUUUCGCCGAUCCUCGACGUGAUAAGGAUAUUUUUUUAUACGUCCGGGGUUUUGGCUCUCGAGGCUCGCUUCUAAUCGUCUCGUUGAGACAGUUGGUCGGGGGUUGCCCCUUGACCUGUGAACCAUCUGACCUCAAAUCGGGUGAGACUACCCGCUGAACUUAAGCAUAUCAAUAAGCGGAGGA
rnacentral:rRNA from 1 species